UGACAAUGUCAGCUGUGCUUUCAUUUUGUUACCUUUUCGAUGUUUCUAUGUGCAAGGUGGGCAUUAAAUCAGAUUAAAUAGCCUGAGAACCUUAAAAUUGUCAACCAAAUCAAGAAGCUUAAAGAAGGAACUCAGGAUCUAUGAUAUUACAAAGUAUUGUAAUGACUUUCACUGAACCUUCUGGUUUUAGCACAUAUGGCACACCAUAUUUUAACUUCUUAUGUUGGAAAUACCACCCAUAGGCUUCGGGUCACUUCCAAAUACCCAUGGAAACCGAUCUUUUAUUGUAUCCACCUCACUGCAUGAUUUGGAGCCCCAGGGGUCUGCAUCUAGGGCACCUGGAAGGAGUUGACCCCUUGGAGUGUGAAGAAGUGUUUGGAGCUCUCUACGUGCUGAAUCUCUUCAACCAGAGUGUAAAACUUCCACUUGACUUCAAAGGAGUUUGAGUCCCAUCCCACAUCCGGGAGUGCAGGUCCAGUCAUGUAUGUGACUUGCACAAAAGUGCCUUCAAAACCAUGGGAACACAUGUUUUUGGGGAGGGAACUGCACAGAUAUUUAGAGAAAGCAGGAGAAGCGGUGAAUGGUGCAUGACCAGACUGGGGACAAGAGACUUAGCAAGCGCAUGUGGGAGGUCUGUAAAGGACCAUUGCAGGAGGCAGAUUCCCAAAAAAGAGAGAUUCAGAUGCAGGCAUUGGAAUGGGAAAGCUCAGUGGAUGCAAGGCAGCAGGGAGCUCACUGAAAAACUAACUAAUCCCUUUUCUCCAAGCUGGAUGUAGCCAAGGAUGGAGCUUACCUCUUCUAGUCUGCCAGUGGCUUUAGAAAUUCUAAGGCAACCUAAAUUAAACCUGGCCCCUGAUGGGUCUUCUGCCUUCCUAAAUCCAAUUAGCCAAUCAUGACUUUUCACUUAACUGCAAUGUCUUUAAUUGGAUCAAAAUAACAACAGGAAGCAUAGAAAAUUACAGGAAUUUACUUAGCAAGCAGGGCGGAGUCUUGCAGCUGGUAUCAUCAUUAUCUCUAGCACAGGUUGUAGAGUUCAUCACAGGUGUAAAAUCUCCAUGAACACUUCUCAAUAUCAUGUAUAGAGCUUUUUCAUCUUUGUUUAAGCUACAGACAUCCACACAGAAAGCUAUAAUAGGUGUGGUGGCACAGCUUGCUCUUCCUCUGCAUGUGCACUCUAGCCAGCAAAAUUUGACUGCAUGCAAUACCUCCUUCGCAUUUGGUGGUGUGAAGGGGCUUUUGGACAAAUGAAAUGCCUUUGAAUGGCCUCCAAAUCUUUAAAGUUGGGCACAGGCUAUGCAGAACUGAGGCCUUUGGGCAGCAGUUUUCUUUUGGACUGCCAUUCAGAAGUGCUGGGGCCGUACUGAAACACAAUAGCUCCAAAAUGUGCAUUCUUGUAAUGUUACUGGACAUGGGGUAGUACCACCAGAUGAGCUUUAAAAGCCAAAUCCCAGUGUAGCAAGGCAACAAUGACAAUGCAUUAGCACCAGCAAAGGACUUGGCACUGACAGAUACGAUCUAGCAAUGCUACUAAUAAGAUAUACACUUCUUCUAAACAGAUGUGUCAUUGGGUUGCUCACUGGGAUGUGGGAAAGAGGGGAUAUGGCUGGCACAUGCAACAUUUUUUGAGCAUGAUUUGGAAUGGGAUUCUGGAGAUCAAAACAUACGUAAGAUAUUCCAGCACAGCGAGAGAAGGAGGGAAGCUUCAAAAUGCUUCUUAUGUAGCUGAAUGACAUCAAAAUGCAGGCUGACGGUUCAUAUCUGAGCCUCUUGGAACAAUGGUAUUCCCAAGGAAAACUUGAUCCAGAUGGAUCCGGUUGCCCAAAUAGGCCAGUUUUGGUAAAACUUAGUUUAAGUGAAUGAACCAUUCUGACUGGCUCUAGUGAGGGGUAUCAAAAUGACAGCUUGAGCUCUGGUUUGGGGAGUCUGAUGCCUGGCAUCAUGGGCAAGCAAAAUCCACUCUGUGAUUUCAGACACAGGAAUGUAUGAAGAACAGGAUCUACCUCGAUGUCUGUGUUUAUUAAGCCUGCAUCCACGGGAGCAUGUCUUACUGGCUGAGCAGUGUGUGUCACGCCUCGAGGGUCUGCAUUUGCAUGUGUUAAUCAGUCUGGUGGGACUGAAAGGCAAGAUGAGAGCAGAUCCAUCAGUGUCAGCUGCUUUCAGCACAUCAGCACUUUUGGGGGGUUUAUUGGGGACUAGCCCAUCAGCAGUGCUUCCAAACUGCAAACAUGCUGCAAGACAGGCCCCUCCUCCUGUGCAGCAGCCAGGCUGCCUGGGGAAGGAGUGCCGGGACCCCGGUGCCACUGGCUAGGGGCUGGGUGAUAAAUGACUGCAUGAGGCAUCUCCAUGGCUAGUCAAGUCCAGAGGGUAGGCCAGAGCCAAGCUUCUGGAGAGGGAGCAAUGAAACCAUAUUAAUUCCUGGGCUUGCAUCCAUGUGUGUCUGUGUGUCUGUACUGUCUGAAAUAAUACACUUGACACAAACACACAUGCUUCACUUCCAGCACACAGAGUAACAUGGAAGAGGGGUGAAAGAGAGAAAGUAACCUGAUUGACAGGUUAAUGAAGCAGUUCAUAAUAGCAAAGUAUAUUAUAACCUUAGAAACAGCUUGUAAAUACCCAGUUGCUUUACAUGUAUAAACAUACUCCCAUGCCUAGCUCUGUGUAUAUACAUUUGCCAAUAUAUGAAAUGUAUGUGCCUGUUUAUAUGCGUAUCUAAAAGGUGCAGGAAUGAGAAAUCAAUGCUCUGCAGUGAAACCAAAGAAUAAAUGGGAGCUGGAAAAAAUUAAGCUUCAUUAGCCUAGCAGCCAUAUAUAUCUCCUGACUUUUAUUUUACUCCUAGGGCUAGGAGCCUUCCUUUCAAAGGAGUGGAGGGACUUAGGAACACACAUCUCCCUGUCCUGCACUCCCAAGCCCUCUUGCUACUCUUGAAAACUCCACCUGUGGGCUGUUUUUUUUCCUUUUUCUUUAUUUAUUUGGUUGUUUGAAUCCCAGGGUCUUGGGCUUCAGCCCAGCUCAUAAGGCUGGGAAGUCAAUGUUAGCCUGAGGAGAGCAGAGUUUGAACCCAUAUCUAAUCCAGGGUUUUGACUAAUCCCUCAUUGCUUUGAUAUGUCACUCUUUGAAAAGCUUAGGUAUAUUAUUUACUAGGCAAAUAUUUGGAUGUCUGUUUCCUUCUGUAUUGUAUAUAUUCAUGGGAAUUUCCCAAUGUACUCUGGACUGGGGCAAUGACUUACACAACAAUACCUUCUCUCUUUUGUGGGACCUAUUGGCAAAUAUAAAUAGUGACAUACUGAGCUCUUGUGGAUGGGUGACAGCUCCAGGAGCUGAAAAAUCAAGCUAAGCAUGACUUUUAGCUUUAAAGCUUUUCAUGACUCUGCUUUUACUUGUAAGCCUUAAUUUUACAGUAAGAUAAUUCCCCUGGGUUCUUUUCCUAUAUUCUCUUAGAGAAAAGAAGCAGAUUAAGAGAUUUCUCAUACACACAAAAGAGUGUGUAAUUUGCCAGUUCCCAGUAAAAGCCAAGCAGUGUUUCUAAGGGUCAUGACUGCAGAUGAAAAAAUUCAAAGAUCCAAGUGUACUGGGAAGGAUUGGAACCAGCAGGUUAAUAGAACCCAACCUACACAAUGGAAAGUUGACUUUAUCACAUUGAAGUUUGGCUCAGACUUGAACUCUUCUAAAAAUCGUCAGCAAAUUCCUGUCUAAGAGUAUACAGUCAAGUCCCUGGCCUCAGUUCUUCUCAGAAGAGUUGUGCCAGUAUUAUCUUCCCUGAUGUGAAUCCCAAGCUGAAAGCACUUAAGAGGUGGGAUAUGUGCAGAGACUGCUGAUGUGACAUAUAUGGCACCGUGAAAGGAGCAUAGAUACACAGAUGUAUCCUGGGCAGUGUGCAAGUGACCAUACCUGCAAAUGUCUAGCCACACAUGCUUGUGCUUUUCUACAACCAUAAGGGAACUUUUUAUUAUAAGGCAACUAGCACUGUCUUGGUCUAGCUCUUGACCAGAGUUGUUGAUGAGCUUGUGAUCUGAGGAGCUUACAGGCAAAACAGUCAAGCCAAGUAUUUCUGUGUUAGUCUUAAAGCUGUGGAACAGAGGUGACUUGUCCCUGAUCACAUGCAAAGCUGAAGGCAGAGCUGGGAAUGAGGCUCAGAUAUCCAGCAUGGACAUCAUUUUAUGGAUGUGCUGUCACAAAAGGCUGUGAGAAAACUACAAGAGCUUCACUUCACCACCUGUCCAGGAUCCCCAGAAUCUGUCUUCCUUCAAAACCCAAGCCCAGUGCACUGUUAGUGAUGAAACUCUGCAGCGCAAUGCUUUGAUGAGGCUGUGAUCUUGGAAGGAUACAGAAAGAGAUGGGCUGUUUCAGGCAGAUCACAAGGAAAUCCUGGUUUCUAAAGGUCAGACGGUUGCUGUGUGCCAUGGAGUGACCGCAGCUCAUCUAUAUUUUAACAUCCUUGUUGGCCAUGGUCAGGUGUCUGCUUAGUCUCACUUCAACCCAGAUUCAUUUGGUCUGAGCCCAGGACUUCUGACUGUGGCUGAAAGGCAAAAGGCAAGGCCCUGCUGUUCCUCUAGGCUUCAAGCAGAAGGACGAAGUGCAGAAGAAAUAUAAUGAUGGCAAGUAGGCUGUGGGAAUGACGCCGUUUAUUGAUACUCCAGGUAUGAAAGAACCCACUAACGAGCAAUUUAUAAAAGACACUUUUGAGCCAUUUUGAAGGAAAUCACUGACUGCUGUGAGCAGGAAAGUGCAGACAGCUUCAUGCAAGGAUGAGCUGCUGCCCAGCAGCUGGCCUUUGCAGUUGUGAGCUGUGCAAGAACCAUAAGCAGCUCCUUCCACAUCCACACCCUCCUCUGUGGAUGUCUGGCAGCAGGUAUUUACCCUCUGCAGAAUCCUGCCAGUCACCCACAUCAUGCGGGCAGAGCUAAGGUUCCACAGAGGUCUAAGCUAGCUGGCACCCCUGUCUUCUGCAGCUGGGCAGCAGUGAGGUAUCUUUCCUUGUACCAGCUGAACAUCUCUAAUAGGCAUGUGGAUCU